AGCAACCUUCUCGAUAUCGACCCCACCUUGAUGACUUCCAACCAAAACUGGUCCCUAAGUAGUCGAAAUGUGCGACUUGAGUGGAAGAUUGAAAUUGAUUAUUUUGUUUUUACACAAUGGCAACCAUUUAUCAAACAAGACUCCAGAAAAGACGAACACUUGACGGUAUAAGUGGUGUGAAACCAAUCCCCAGCAUCAACCUUAUCUGAAGUGAUGUUAUGGCUUAAACCGUGCGACAUGGGAUUUGGAGAGAUAAAUGGAUUUCAAGAAGGUGCUGUGCCUUAGCAUUGGUUAUCGUUCUCCGGAUAUAGACAUCUAUACAAUGUAUAUGACAUUAAAAGACAGUAGCUAUAAAUUCUUCGUCACUUUGAUGCUUGUGUUUCAUCAAGAUUUUUAUAUUUUCACGCUGUGAGUGGAAGUUUUCAAGCAUGGCAGAAUACACUUUGAAUCUUCUUGCAAAUCUCUUGUGGUGAUUGCUUCCUCUUCACUUUCGAAAUCAGGUUUCUAGUCCUAAAGGAAAGACGCUGGUCGCUAUUUUUACACAUCUUCAACAACAUCAUGAACAAUUCCCACCAAUGUAUACCACGUGAGACAAUAAACUUCCAAACUGUAUAUGUGAUACAGCGAUAUUUCUUUUGAAUAUAUCUUCAGUAGAUUCGGUGUUAUUAAUGGAUUGUUUUUGUAUUGGAACCUCGUUCUCGUUAGAGCUUUUAUUGUCGUCGAAAUGCUUGGAAUCAUUCGUGUUUCCUUUGGUCUACGAGCCCUCAUCCAAAACUCUCGAGCGUACGCUAGGUGCUUCAUCUACGUUCAAUUUCAUCACGUCAUCUUCAAUCUGGCGUCGUUUUUUCUCCUCUGUCAUGCUAGAUUUUGUUUAACUGUUGGAAGUCUCAUUUUAAAUUAUUUUUUCUUCGUCAAUCCACGAAUAUAAUAUCUCUCAUAAUAAUUGGGUAAUUGUGAAGAAAAAUGGGCUAAGCUUCUUGUGCAAAAUAAUUGAAUUCUGAUAUUUUAAAGAUACGAUAAGAAUCUGCAGGCUGUUCAGUGAGGCAGCUGCUUGCAAGUUGGUCAUCCAUUUUAAAUUUUAACCAUUUCUUUAGAAUGUUUUACCGUAAGUGAAUACUAAAAUACACUGAUGCUCUCUUGUAUACA